rnacentral:misc_RNA from 1 species
UGAUGGUGUUCUGUAACACAUUGAAUUCCAGCCGUGCUGUAGAUCACUUUCUUGCUGAAAAUCAGAUUUCUACUGUCAAUUAUCAUGGAGAGGUGCCAGCAGAACAAAGGGUUGAAAAUCUACAAAAGUUUAAGAAUGAUGAUGGAGAUUGCCCAACAUUGGUCUGUACUGACUUGGCAGCUAGGGGGCUUGACUUGGAUGUUGAUCAUGUUAUCAUGUUUGAUUUCCCCUUGAACUCUAUCGAUUACCUUCAUCGCACAGGAAGAACUGCUCGAAUGGGUGCAAAAGGGAAAGUCACAAGCUUGGUGGCUAAAAAGGAUGUGCUGUUGGCUGCCCGAAUUGAGGAGGCAAUAAGGAAGAAUGAGAGCUUGGAAUCCCUUACUGCAGAUAAUGUUCGGAGAGACAUUUCCAGGGCUCAAAUAACUGAACAGAAGGGGAAGAGGGAAAAAUUGAUUAGACAAUCCAAUCAGAGAAACAAGACUAAGGCUGCAACAGUCAAAUCUUCUAGCAACCUCACGAAGGCUUCAUCUUCAGUAAAUAAAUCUGGAAAAGCAUCUAUCUUAGCAAAAUCUGCCAAGGCUGUUAAAGUUGUGAAGACAGUGGAAGUCUCCCGUAAAACAUCUCUAGGUGGGAACAAGAAAAU